rnacentral:tRNA from 1 species
GCCGUGGUGGUGGAAUUGGUAGACACGCUAGCUUGAGGGGCUAGUGUUCGAAAGGACAUAAGGGUUCGAGUCCCUUCCUCGGCA